CCAAAUAAUUCCCCAAAAGUAUGUUCUCCAUCCAGAUCUAAGAUCCAAACUUCAAAAAACACCAAAAUAGUAGAAAACUAAAAAUUCUUCCAUUGAAAGCUCUUUGUUCCAGCUUGUUUACUUUUGAAACAGCAUAAGUUUUCUCUUAAGUUUUCAUUCAGUUGAGAUUCAGCAGCUUUCGACGUCCUUUGGGUCGUAUCUGGUUUGAUUCAAGUUUGGUUGAUUGGUUGUUUUCUAGAAUUAUUAAUUACUGGUUUGUUUUUAAGUAGGUGGUGUCAUUUUGGUUUAAAAUUGCAUUGGCUUUCAAUAUCAAAUUCUCUUGUUGCUUAUGAGUUGAUCCCUGCUGAUUUGUAUCCAAUUUGUUGCUGCUGUUACGUCUACUGUUGCUGACUGCUCCUAUUUCUCAUUGUAUUUCGAAUUCCAGGUACAUGUUUUGACCUCACCUAUGAUGCAUUUUCCAUUAAAAUGGAAUGAAUUGACGAUUCAAGGCUAUUCUCACUGCUAUUGAUUAGGGAUGCAAUCAGUUUGGAAUUAUGCAAUGAUUUAAAUUUUGAAUCUGAACUAACAGUUUGCUACUCGAACAUGUACUACAUCGUUCAAUUUUGCUAUUUCAUGGACUGUUAGUUUGGUUUAUUUAAUUAGUGGCGGUAAUUGGAUUCAAUAUUGUUGUUAGUAUAUCGUGGGUUGAGGUGAUGUAUUUUCCUCUAUUUUAGCACAGUUCAAAAGUAAUCCAUGUUUUAAUGAUAGUUUCAGCUUGUUUUAGUCAGGGAACGUGUAUUCGAUUUACCUUAACGUAUAAUUAGAAUGCUAUAGGACUGUUAUGGUUAUUCCUUAGGUUUGUUUGAAUUUUAUUUUAGUAGAAGAACACACCCUAGCUCUGUUAAUUCCGGUUAGGGUGUGCGAUUUUUUUUUUUUCUGAAAAUUUUUAGUCUAAUUUCUAAACUACCCUGUAAGGUGCCACCAAUUAAAACCUAUGGAGAUAUUGUCUUUCUUUUUUUUUUUACCACAAAUAGGUGAAAUACUAAUAAGGGAGACAAUAUCGCCGGAGUUGUUACCCAUAUGACAUAACCGGUCUAACCUUACCUUAUUCAUCCUAUUAUGAUUAUAUUACAGAAAAUAAAACUAAUGUGAUGGAAAAUUAAAAGGUUUAAAUAUGGCUUCAACCUUCACAUUUUGUUACUCGAUCGAUUGGGCUUUGAAAAAGAUGUUUGCGCGACGUGUUUUAGUUUUGCAUUUCUCAUUGGGGGUCUCCUUAUGAUCUGGCUAUUCAUUGCAUCCAACUUUUCCUUCUCCUCAAAAGUAGUGAUUGAGUUUAUUUGAACAAUAUGAUUCUGUGCAACUGUUGGUAGCGGCGUUGCAAUUCGAUUAGCAACUGAAGUCUCGCCUGGAUUUAUAGAAAUUCUUGCAAAAAGUACUGGAGCAUUAUGGUUCAAGUUGCUACUGAGUUUGCUGGUUGUUUUAAAUUUGCAG
rnacentral:lncRNA from 1 species